GAAAAAAAAAACUAAAAUCUUACACACACAGACACACACACAACUAUCUAAAAAACGAAAAUGAAAACAGAACAGAAAUCGCUUACAAAAAGCUCUUUACUUUAAGUCUUUUUUGAAAGAAAGAAAAAAAAACAAAACAAAACAAAAGAAAAACAAACAAGUAAACCUUAUUAUUACCAAUAUUAUGAUUAUGAUUAUUAUUAUUAUUAUUAUUAUGAGAAUAUGCUGAAAAAAAUCGUGAAGCAAUUGUGUAUUGGGGGCAGCCAAUUUCAAAAAGAAAGAAAUGAUUCCAACUCCAACCAACCAACCAACCAAACAAACAACAAACCAACCAACCAAGCUAUCAAUCAAUCAAUCAGUCAAUCAAACCAAUCAAACAAAUCAGAACCAACCAAUCAAUCAGUCGAUUUAACAACAACUUUUCAUCAAGUCUUAUAAAGCCAAAAGAGCAGCCCUACAUGGACAGCAAAGAUCAACGAAUAAAAUCGAGCUAUAAACGAAUCAUUCACAUAAAGGCACAACACCACCAUCAUCACCAUCACCAUCGCCAUAACCAUCUCCAUCAAAUUAAAUUUGUUUUACUGUCACUAUAAAGUCCAAAGUCCCUGGCUAUCUUUUGGUUCUAUCCAGACUUACCGCAGCCCAUCAGCCACUGCCCUGGACGCAUUCAUUCGUUAGAGCCGUAAAGAUCGAUUUGUUAAAUAGAGAUCUGAUCUGAUUAAGAGAUUUGAUCGAAGAGAAGCAACAGACAAGACAUCUAUCCAUACAAGAAAUCGAAGAGCAGUAGAUUUUAUUAUUUCCAUAAGGUUUCAUGGUCAUGUUAAUGUCAUACAGUGCACAAAUUACAAUAGAAAUAUAACUUAACUCAUCUGACAAGUAUUUUAUCUUACUGUUACACUCGAUCUGGCUCAAAAGUGAUAUCUUACUGCAUUCUGUUCGAACAUGAGGCUUCUUCCUCGCGACUGUGCUCACGGUUUGGACAAUGGGCUCUCUCUCUCUCUCUCAUUGUCGCCGCUUUCUGUAGAAGCAGGUGGGAGGAGAGGGAGUGUGAGGCCGGGCGAAGCUCUUGCUCAUUCCGCUCGCUUUUUUAUCUCGAGUUCCAUUCCAUCUCGUGUUAACAUCCGUUCAUCCAUUCAUCCAUACAGCCGCACACAUAUUGAAACAUAUGUACAUACAUGCCAUACAUUACAUAGAUCAUACACCACAUUGCCAUAGCGUAAUGUGAUUUGAUCCCUGGUCCAGGGUGUCCUUCCACAGUCGAGUCAGAUGAUUAUUUCAUUUUUAUGGCUUGAUGUUUGGGUGUAGGCUCUUGGGAUCGGAUCCGUGGUCUCUUACUCGCCGUUAGAAUAUAUGCUCGUAGAAUCCAAUGAAAAAAUACCAAAUGAACAACUGGAUCCAAAGCAACAACGGCAGGAAGCAGCAGGAAACACACACGCACACAAUCACAAACUAUGUGUAAAAUAUAAUAAUAAUUGAAUCAGAACUAUAACCCCCCUCUAAUAAUACCAAAUGUUGAACAAUUACCAAUAUAGUAUGUUUAAAAUAAUGAAAGAAAAACAAACAAAACAAAAAACAACCAAAAAAAAAAACCAAAAGCAAAUGCAAAUGCAACAAAAAUAUAUUUGAAAUUCUCUAUACACUUGCAGACAAUGUGUAAAAACAUAGAAGGUAUGAAAAGCUUCGAAGCGAAAAGAGAACAAGAAAAAAAAACCAAUAAAACUAAAAAAAAACCAUAAGAAGCCUACAAAAAAAAUAACUGGACAAACGUAACUGUACAAAUAUAUCGGGACAUCGAGAGAGAUAGAGCGUGAGCUGUUGAUGACACAGAGAGAGAGAGAGAAAGAGAGAGGAGAGAGAGUGAGAGAGACAGGGCAGGGAGAGAAGAGUGGGAGUAGGAGAAACAGAGCUAUAGUAAGAGAGGGAGGGCGCGUGCGUGUGCGCUUUCUCCGUAUGAGUGAGGAAAGCGCGCGUACAUCCCAAACCCAUCCAAUACGCCCCAGUCUCCACUCCCGGCACCACCAACAACACAAUUGUUUCAUCGAUCGAUCGGCAUUGUAAGAGGUAUUUUUAAUACACAUACUACUAUCACUACCACUAU